UGUGAUUUUCUCUGGACAGAAAGGUCAUAAUAUGGCUUAUAUAUAAUAGAAGAAGAAUGUUCGGGGACGGCAAUUGUUACUUGCGUUGAGAUUGAGCUCUUCGUCAAGCGAAUUAUUGAGAAAUAAGUUAUCGUGUUGAAUAUUAGGCUUUUUUUUUUUUUGAAUAUUAGGCUUUUGAAUUCUUCCUUUUUGGUAGUUUACGUAUUGCCAAACAACCUGUAUUUCCUUUUAUUUUUGCGACGUCGAUUGGGAACAUCGAGAUUGAGAACGACAAUAAUGCCAGAGUUUUUGACUUUUUG
rnacentral:lncRNA from 1 species